rnacentral:rRNA from 1 species
AGAUUUCGGUUUUUAUCUUAGUGGCGCACGGGUGAGUAACACGUGAAUAACCUGACCCAAAGAGGGGGAUAACACCUGGAAACAGGUGCUAAUACCGCAUAAGACCACAAUGUCGCAUGACGAAGGGGUCAAAGAAAAUCGCUUUGGGAGGGGUUCGCGUCCCAUUAGGUAGUAGGCGGGGUAACGGCCCACCUAGCCGACGAUGGGUAGCCGAGCUGAGAGGCUGAUCGGCCACACUGGAACUGAGACACGGUCCAGACUCCUACGGGAGGCAGCAGUGGGGAAUAUUGGGCAAUGGGCGCAAGCCUGACCCAGCAACGCCGCGUGAGGGAAGAAGGUUUUCGGAUUGUAAACCUCUGUCGCAGAAGACGAAGGAAGUGACGGUAUUCUGUGAGGAAGCCCCGGCUAACUACGUGCCAGCAGCCGCGGUAAUACGUAGGGGGCGAGCGUUGUCCGGAAUUACUGGGCGUAAAGGGAGCGUAGGCGGUCUGAUAAGUUGGAUGUGAAAUACCCGGGCUUAACUUGGGGGGUGCAUCCAAUACUGUUGGACUAGAGUACAGGAGAGGAAAGCGGAAUUCCUAGUGUAGCGGUGAAAUGCAUAGAUAUUAGGAGGAACAUCGGUGGCGAAGGCGGCUUUCUGGACUGCAACUGACGCUGAGGCUCGAAAGCGUGGGGAGCAAACAGGAUUAGAUACCCUGGUAGUCCACGCUGUAAACGAUGAAUACUAGGUGUAGGGGGUAUAAACUCCCUCUGUGCCGCAGCAAACGCAAUAAGUAUUCCGCCUGGGGAGUACGGCCGCAAGGUUGAAACUCAAAGGAAUUGACGGGGGCCCGCACAAGCAGCGGAGCAUGUGGUUUAAUUCGACGCAACGCGAAGAACCUUACCAAGGCUUGACAUCCACUUAAAGUUAUGGAAACAUAAUGUCCCUUCGGGGGAAGUGAGACAGGUGGUGCAUGGUUGUCGUCAGCUCGUGUCGUGAG